CAUAGAGAACACAUCUGUCCCUGAACACUCCCAUCUCGUCUGAUCUUGGAAGCUGAGCAGGACUGGACCCGGUUAGUACUUGAGGGGGAGAACACAUCUGUCUUCAGGAUAAAUUGGCUUUGU
ensembl:rRNA Gm55404 predicted gene, 24738